GAAGAAGAAGAAGAAGAAGAAGAAGAGGAAGACGGGGCAGGACGUAAAUACGAAGAAAGAUGGGGCUACCAACAAAGAUAGAACGCAACACUAGAGAUAAAGAGAGGGGAGAAAGCAGAAGGAGGGGAAUAUACGUUGCGAAAAAGGCUGAGAAACACAACAAAAAUAGACAGACACGCGUAUCGAAGGAUAGGUAAGUUAAAAGGAGAUAGAAAGACGACAGAAGUGGAGAUGAGGAGGAAGGUGCACGAAGGCCGUUGCAUGAAUAGGCGCACGCGCGGUUUACAAGCACGUGGGUAAACCGCCUUCAACAGGAUUCGCACACACAAUACUGCGCUCUCGGAUAUACGCAAAUAGCGUUUUCGUUUCUUUCUACAUCUCCCCUAUCUGCCACGUCGUACGUGCCGCGAAGAUCGCGCAUGCACUUUAUUAUACUUUAUCGAACUCGGGUGCGCGCGAAUCCGGCGGAUUUUUCGCCGACUAACAAGAAUGGAUUGAUAACGGUAUACGUCAAUGACAUCGUUCGGAAGACGUAGCCGAUCGGUGGCUCAACAGAAACAUGGAACGGGUAAUUCCACGUAAUUACGCAGAAACCUGACGUUACGGUAAGCCAACGUGCAAUUUCGACACGUCGGAGUGGUGCAUCCGUUUCGUACUUAGAAGUCGGCAACAAUGGCGCUCUGAACGAUAAAAGUUCGGAUAGCAGCGUACGCCGUACGUGCCAUGCUGCGUGACACCGAUGGCCGCGCAAUCACGUGGAACCAAUACAGGUACACCUUGUACGUGGAGAAGCAUCGUGUACGCACACGCGCGAACUGCACGGAGUGAACCGGAGACGAAGAAAGCGAACGUCUCGUAUGGUGGGGGAACACGAAGGAUGACCUAGAGUGGGAAAGACGACGAUCGACGAAGACGAAAGAGUACGCAGACAAUGCCGUUCUGACGAAGACGGGCGAACGAAGAAGGAGGAGGAGGACGAAGGAACGGAAAGAGAAAGAAACUACAGAUACGAAACGCGGUCGAAGAGGAAACGCGAGACAGAAGAUACACGCGGAAAGAAAGAGGAGAGGUCAGGAGCAGACAGAGAGCGAGAGACGAGAGACAAGACUAGAAAGAAGUGGGGAUCGCGAGACAGAAAAGACAAAGACGAAAAUACGAGGAAAGAAGACGGUGGUGGGGGAACAACGUGUCUCUAGAAACGACCUCGUGCGGCAGACGGAGCAACGGAGAGAGUGAAACUAUCGGACGAGGAGGAAAGACGACUGUACUGUAAAGAGCGAGUAAAAAGGGAAAAAUAAUUCUCGCGUAAAGGCGGAAUAAUAUAUCGUAAGUAAAUUGGUCGAUCUGGUUAAAGGAGAAGACGAAGGAAGCGAGGAAAGAAG